rnacentral:ncRNA from 1 species
UAUAAAGCUUUGAAUAAGGAGUAGUAGUAUUCUCAUAUACCACUAAAGAGAGCUGUUGUCAGGUGAAAAACAGCGUGAAGAUGAUAUGAACUCACCUUAAGAGCUUAUCUGAAAAAUCAGAUACGGUAAAAAAGCCGUUAUCUUUUAAGGGAAAUCAACUUAUUGAUUUAAUUAGAGUGGUACCGCGGAAAUUUAGCUUUUCGUCUCUUAA